UGGGGAAUAUUGCGCAAUGGGCGAAAGCCUGACGCAGCCACGCCGCGUGAGCGAUGAAGGUCUUCGGAUCGUAAAGCUCUGUGGGGGGAGAAGAAACCUGACGGUAUCCCCUUAGCAAGCACCGGCUAACUCCGUGCCAGCAGCCGCGGUAAUACGGAGGGUGCAAACGUUGCUCGGAAUCAUUGGGCGUAAAGCGCACGUAGGUGGCAUCGCAAGUUGGAUGUGAAAGCCCAGGGCUCAACCUUGGAAGUGCAUUCAAAACUGCGUUGCUUGAGUCCCGGAGGGGCCCAGAGAAUUCUCGGUGUAGAGGUGAAAUUCGUAGAUAUCGGGAGGAAUACCAGUGGCGAAGGCGCUGGGCUGGACGGGUACUGACGCUGAGGUGCGAAAGCGUGGGGAGCAAACAGGAUUAGAUACCCCCGUAGUCC
rnacentral:rRNA from 1 species